rnacentral:piRNA from 1 species
UGUUUUCCUCGUGAUACACAGCAG